AGUAUUAGAAGACGCAAAGUCGCAGCGCGGAGAGAUCCAGCAGCUCCUUGACCCUUGGCGCUGCGGCCAAGAUUUAAGAAUCAGGUGGCGAGGGGCGAGGUCUGUAGAUGUGCGGGUUGCAGAGGCUGUGAGGGGUGGGAUUCCGGCGCGCCCACCCCUGAGGUUACUUGUUACUUGCGCCCCUGAGGAAGCGGCUCUCGCCCCGACAACAUCGGACAUUGAACGUUUGCUUCAGUCGUUCGCCUGCAAUAUAACCAGGAAAUCACCCACUUGAAACAACCCGUGUUGAUCAGUCAAAGAGGAGGAGGGGCCCUGGUGGCUGGUUACCAGGAUCCGCCAUGCUCAUUCCUGAGCUCUGCUGCCUGACAGGUCUAACUGAUAAAAUGCGGAAUGAUUGUAAUGUAAUGAAAGACUUACCUGUUCAUACAAGAUUAACUCCAGAAUAAAGGCAGCGCACUGAAGGAAGAUUCAUUGAUUCUAUUCAUAAAGAUGACAAAUGUUCAGCGGGAGCUUCAAGACUGGGAUUGGAGCUUUGACUCCAACUUACUGUCCUCCCGAGAAAGAAUUGUGCAAGCAGAAAAGAUUUCACCAGGGUGGAAAAACGGUAAGGUAAUUUUUAAAGUUGUCAAGUGAGAUU